rnacentral:lncRNA from 1 species
UCCCACGCCGCCCCGAAAACGCGAAUUUUGGCCUUUUUUGGCCGAAAAAUGGGUCCCCCUGCGCGUUCGGUAAAUUGGCCAUAAAACUUCCGUCUCCUCCGACGGUUAACAAACGCGCAUAUCUACAAUUCCGGCCCAAAAUCCCCUGCCGCCCCAAAAACGCAAAAUUUGGCCAAAAUCUGUGUGCUAUAGCUCACGGUUUUUGCCCAUUUUUGCCCAAAUUUCGGGACCCGGAGCUCCGGCAUAAUUUCCACCACUUUUUGGUCCCAUCAGAUAAUUCAGGUCGAUAUACGGCGCCUCCUAAAAUUUCAGCCCAUUCCGGUGCCGUUUGCUACUUCUUCCGAGUUUUUUGUGUCCCGGUUUCUCCAUUUUGGACGAUUUUUCAAACUGUUUUUUCCGGCGGCAAAAAAAUUUUCCCUAACCCCGCCAACCCAUGUCCUGCGUCCGCGCAAAAAAUCUAGGCCUUCAAAACAAGUCGGACGCUUGUCCGCUGCCCGUGGUAGUUCUCGCAUGACGGAGGCUAGCUGCAGCAUCCGGCCCCCAUGGAACAGCGGCAGCAGCGCCGAAAGGGGCAUGGCCACUUCCCGCCCGCCACCUGCGAGGGAAGUGCCGACGGGCACGAACAGGCCUGGGCGAGCGCGGGUGCUGUGCCUGCCCCGCGACCCUGCGCUGCUUGCCCCGUGGGCGCGCGCGCGCGGGCGAGCUGUGCCUGUUCCUCGCUGUCUGCGCGCUUGCAGCACGCGAUGGUGCCGCGCGCUGGAGCGCCUGCAGCCUCCCGCGCGCGGGCGAGCUGUGCCUGUUGCAGCACGCGAUGGUGCCGCGCGCUGGCCGCGCGCUGGAGCGCCUGCUGCGCGCGAUGCUGCGCGCGAUGGUGCCGCGGCUUCGGUCGCUGUCUGCGCGCGAUGGUGCCUACACGACCAUGCUGCGCUCGAUGGUGCCGCGCGCUUGCGCGCUGUUGCGCUCGAUGGUGCCGCGCGCUUGCGCGCUGUUGUCGCGCGCUGGCUUGCUUGCUGCGCGCGAUGGUGCCGCGCACUGGCGCCCCCAUGCUGCGCGCGAUGGUGCCGCGCGCUGGCGCCUGGCUUGCUCGCAAGCGCGCGCUGCCUGCCCCGCGAUCGUGGGCAGCUUGCCUCGCGAGCCUGCGCUGCUUGCCGCGCGAGUGGGGGCUGCAUGCCGCGCGCAAGCCUCGGCCGACUUCCUCGCGCGAGCGUGGGCUGCGUGCCUUGCCCGCGACCGCCCGCUGCCUUGCCUCGCUCGAGCGUCGGCAGUUUGCCUUCCUCACGACCGCGCGCUGCAUCUAGUAGGCCUUCCAAACAUGUCCAACGCUUAUCAAAUCAGUCCGUCUCCCCAUGCUCUGCGUCUGUGCAAAAAAUCUACCCCAAAAAAACUCGGUUGCUUGUCCCCUAACCCGUUGCCCUUUCCCGCAAUUCAUUGGAGGCUACCCGCGCGGGAAGUUGCCUUAAAAUUUGAAAAGAAGAUACAAAGAUUUAGCUGCAGCUUGAACCCUUUACAUGGAGGUCAAAAUCACAAAUAAAAUUUCAAACCCACCGCUGAGCCGCCAUGGAUUCUUGUAACUAUGGGCACAAAUAUUAUUUAAAUGGAAAAGUAAAAUAUAAAUUAAUAAUAAAAUAAAUAAUUAAUAAUUUCACAUCGUAAUUGGAUAUUUAAGUUGUUGUUUUCUGUGGUCGAAUCAAAAUUAAAACGUCUUAGGGUAAAAAAAUAUUAGGUUUAAAAAAUUCGUGGUACGAAAAAUGUGUCAAAACAUGAGAAAAUUGUAAAAUUAAGGGUUCAAAAAGCCCCCCAAGCUCCUUCGGAACUUGACCACCGCAUUCGUCUCGAAAAGUUAUGCAGUUUAAAAAAAAAAAACACCUCAAUCGGACCUCCGAGCACAAAGUUAUCGCAUUUUAAAGAUUUCGACCUUUUCCAAACAAUUUCUCAAGCGCCAGUGGCACUAAAACGCACCGUUUCUUUAAUUUCAACUUACUAUAAA